rnacentral:rRNA from 1 species
CGCGGUAAUACGUAGGGUGCGAGCGUUGUCCGGAAUUACUGGGCGUAAAGGGCUCGUAGGUGGUUUGUCGCGUCGUCUGUGAAAUUCUGGGGCUUAACUCCGGGCGUGCAGGCGAUACGGGCAUAACUUGAGUGCUGUAGGGGUAACUGGAAUUCCUGGUGUAGCGGUGAAAUGCGCAGAUAUCAGGAGGAACACCGAUGGCGAAGGCAGGUUACUGGGCAGUUACUGACGCUGAGGAGCGAAAGCAUGGGUAGCGAACAGGAUUAGAUACCCUGGUAGUCCAUGCCGUAAACGGUGGGCGCUAGGUGUGAGGGCCUUUCUACGACUUUCGUGCCGUAGCUAACGCAUUAAGCGCCCCGCCUGGGGAGUACGGC